rnacentral:rRNA from 1 species
GCUAACUUCGUGCCAGCAGCCGCGGUAAUACGAAGGGACCUAGCGUAGUUCGGAAUUACUGGGCUUAAAGAGUUCGUAGGUGGUUAAAAAAGUUGGUGGUGAAAUCCCAGAGCUUAACUCUGGAACUGCCAUCAAAACUUUUUAGCUAGAGUAUGAUAGAGGAAAGCAGAAUUUCUAGUGUAGAGGUGAAAUUCGUAGAUAUUAGAAAGAAUACCGAUUGCGAAGGCAGCUUUCUGGAUCAUUACUGACACUGAGGAACGAAAGCAUGGGUAGCGAAGAGGAUUAGAUACCCUCGUAGUCCAUGCCGUAAACGAUGUGUGUUAGACGUUGGAAAUUUAUUUUCAGUGUCGCAGCGAAAGCGAUAAACACACCGCCUGGGGAGUACGACCGCAAGGUUAAAACUCAAAUGAAUUGACGGGGACCCGCACAAGUAGUGGAGCAUGUGGUUUAAUUCGAAGAUACGCGCAGAACCUUACCAACACUUGACAUGUUCGUCGCGACUCUAAGAGAUUAGAGUUUUCGGUUCGGCCGGACGAAACACAGGUGCUGCAUGGCUGUCGUCAGCUCGUGUCGUGAGAUGUUGGGUUAAGUCCCGCAACGAGCGCAACCCUUACUUUUAGUUGCCAUCAUUUAGUUGGGCACUCUGAAAGAACUGCCAGUGAUAAGCUGGAGGAAGGUGGGGAUGACGUCAAGUCCUCAUGGCCCUUAUGUGUUGGGCUACACACGUGCUACAAUGGUAUCUACAACAGGAAGCAAAAUGGCAACAUUAAGCAAAUCCCAAAAAGAUACCUCAGUUCGGAUUGCACUCUGCAACUCGAGUGCAUGAAGCUGGAAUUACUAGUAAUCGUGGAUCAGCGUGCCACGGUGAAUACGUUCCCGGGUCUUGUACACACCGCCCGUCACACCAUGGGAGUUGGUUCUACCUUAAGGCAAGGUUCAAA